rnacentral:lncRNA from 1 species
UUCUUCUCCAUUUACCCCCCGUGGCCUCCUGCCCCUAGCCUCCUUACCCCCUCAAUAGGUGGGACAGGAUGGCAAGAGUGGGUUGGAGUUGGAUAUUUCACUUCCCUCAAGUCAGUUAGGCUCUGAUAAACUCCCAGCAGGUUAGGGUCUGGUUAGUUUCUCCUGAAGGCAGGUCUUUGUUAAGACCAGAAUCCUCUACCAUAUUUCACAAUGGUUCCUUUCCCCUUCCCCCUACUGGAAUCAGGAGGAAGUUUUCCUUUAAUAUUCACUGUGAAAAACUGGUAGAUCUUCAGAAGGUAAAACACUAAAGUGUGAAGACCCCUGAUGACCAGGUCCCCUUGGAGUUUUUCUCUCAGACUUGUCCACAGUUAACCUCUAGCAAUUCAUCAAUUAUAGUUCAGGCUUUUCUACCCUGCACUGGUUCCCAUGGAGGUUUUUGCUUAUGGAUUUCUACUCUGAAAGUAUUGAAGGUAGCUGGCCUAAAUACACACAGGC